AUGUCUGUGGUACCUCCCAAUCACUCGCAGACCGGCUGGUCCCUGGGGGUCCCUCGGUUCGGCAACAAGUACAUCCAGCAGACCAAACCCCUCACCCUGGCGUGUACCAUCAACCUGUACCCUCUUACCAAUUAUACUUUUGGUACAAAUAGCCUCUCUACGAGAAGGACAGUUCUGUUGCAGCCAGAUUUCAGCACAUGAGGGAAGAAUUUGAUUAAAUUGGAAUAAGGAGGACCGUAGAAGAGGCUCUAACUGUACAUGAGCAUCGGUUACCCCAUGUGUUACUGCUACAGCUGGAAAAAACUUUCUUCAAACUACCUGGUGGUAAACUUAACCCAGGAGAAGAUGAAGUUGAAGGACUGAAAUGCUUAAUGACGGAGAUACUGUGUCGUCAGGAUAGAGUUCUGCAAGACUGGGUCAUUGAUGACUGCAUUGGUAACUGGUGGAGAACAACUUUUGAACCUCCUCAGUAUCCAUAUAUUCCUGCACAUGUUACAAAACCUAAGGAACAUAAGAAGUUGUUUCUGGUUCAGCUGCAAGAAAAAGCUAUGUUUGCAGUCCCUAAAAAUUACAAGCUGGUAGCUGCACCAUUGUUUGAAUUGCAUGACAAAGCACCAGGAUAUGGAUCCAUUAUUUCUAGUCUCCCUCAGCUGUUGAGCAGGUUAAAUUUUAUACACAACUGAAUUCCUGCCCAGUGGAGAAGUAAAAGAAGCCUCUUGUCUCUGUGAGCAUAGCUACAUACAGUGUGGCAUAACUGUGGUAGAAAAGUUUUUUUAGUUUUAUCUCCUUUGCGAUCCCAAAAUUGCCACCUACUUUCUAUCAUUUGAAUAGUGAAAUUAAUAGGAAGAACCAGAUAGUGGUGUAAACAAAUAUGAUAAUGUUUAUUUACUUUUGGUUCUACUCAUACUUUUUUGUACAACAUUAAAGAAAAUGGACUUCUUUUUUCAUUUUAAUUUCUCAUUCAACUUCUAAAAUUCUU